CAUAAAUCAACACACAAAAAACUGGUCGCAUCCAAAUGUUCAACCACAUUGGUCUCCACGCAAUGAGAAGUUCAAUAUCCUGAAUGGAAAUCUACCCAGUCACUCACUUUGUUGUGAGAUGUGCAGCAAGGGAUAAAGGGCUCUGGCAAAAGGUAGGGGUACUUGCCGCCAAGGACGUCAAAGGGAGGAAGGGUGACAAUGGUGGAAAUGAAUCUGUGCUCCAAGCAGGUGUACAACGAGCUAAAAGCCAUGAACAUAACUGAAAAUAUCCACAAAUCGAGCAUUUUAAAAACUGCUAAUAAAACAUUUUGUUUGGCUUCAUC
rnacentral:lncRNA from 1 species